GUCCCUUGAGGACACCUAAUAAACUUGAACUGAAUACAUAGAAGAUUAGCAUGGCCCCUGCGUAAGGAUGGCACGUGCACGUCGAGAAUUGGUAAGAAUUUGG